rnacentral:lncRNA from 1 species
GCAGACCCUCCCCUCUCCCCUCCAGCCUGGACACGCCCGCCUCCCCUUGACUCCCCCCAGCUCUGGGCCCCCACCUCCCCUCCCCUCCAGCACAGUCACCCCCAUUUCUCUCCUAUCCGCCAUCCUGGUUCCUCCCUUCCCCCCACCUCCCAACUCUGUGCCCCGCCAACGUUUCCUAAAUGCCCUCUAUUCAGAUCCCCCCUCCGCCUCCCCUCUCCUCUCCUCCAUUCCUGCGUCCCCCUUCCCCCGCCGCGCCGCCUGGGCUGUCCGUGGACUUCUCCCACUCUCUCACUCUCUCACUCACUCUCUCUCUCUCUCUCUCUCUCUCACUCUCUCUCUCUCUCUCCCCCUCAUUUAUUUGGAACCGUUGGAUAAGAAGUGCUCGGGCUCUCGCUCAGACUUAGGGAGCUGCCUCGAGGUGAUGAAUGACACCCCCUGGCACCAGCUACCCUUCUCAGACCCCAGUCCAGCCCGCUCCCGACGUCGACUACGAUUCCGCUACCUCGGCUGGCAGCGAGGUUGGGGUGAGCCCCAGCUGCAGGCGCGUCUGGGCUGCGCCGCUGCAAACGAGUUGCGCACCUUGGGCGGCUCCGCACCUGCACCCGCACCCGCGGGGCUCAGCCCCGAAGGCUGCAGCUUCGGGGGAGGCGCGGUCGCCGAGGUCCAGCUGGUGGGGCGAGAGACGUCGCCCCUCGGAGGAUGCUCUCGGAACUUGGGAGAGGAAGGAGGGAAGAGAAGAGGGGAAAGGGGCCGUCGAUGUUUUUGAUGUCUGUGCUUUAAUGGAGGCCACCAAUAUUGAGAAGACGGGGUUGGCCGAGGCAGCCCGCACGCUGCUGCUUGCGAGCGCUCGAGUCAAAGCUAGGGCCAACCGCGGCUUGUCCGGGUGCCCUAAGGGGGCGGACACUUGGUUUAGCACCGGGACACAGAAUAGCCACCGGGGUAGGAAGAUGCGUUCACUUUGCUUACCUGUUGGCAAGAGGGACAUACAAAAAUAACGUAACGUGACAUCGUUGACAACGGUAGCUCUUUGAUUACACAAAAGCCAAUUUUACCUUCCCGCAAAAGCCAGUUGACGCCUUUGGAACUUUUAUUUGCGGCAUUUUGGCGCCCUCUGGCUGUGUUUGGAUCGCUUUCAUGCUCGCCUGCGUCCCAGCCAAGAAAAAAUCGAUGGAGCUGCAGGUUGUCCUCAGGAUGGUUCUGCCCUCAGGACCUGGGCGUGAAUUCAGGGACAGGGUGGCCCUCCAGAACCGGAGUGACAAACUGUAACCAUACUUAGGGAGGCAGACGUCAAAGGCAAGUACAUCUGUAUUCAACUGGGUAAAGCCAUGUGAAGACGUGCCUGCCUCCCUGUUACCUUCCACCAUGAUUGUAAGCUUCCUGAGGCCUCCCCAGCCAUGCCUGCUGUAUAGCCUGCAGAACAAUGAAGUCCCGCUCUGUCGCCCAGGCUGGAGUGCAAUGGCAAGAUCAAUCUCAGCUCAGUGCAACCUUCACCUCCCGGGUUCAAGCAAUCCUCCUGCCUCAGACUCCCAAGUUGCUGGGAUUACAGAGCCCUGGGGAUGUCUGGUGGCAGCAGGAGGCUGAAUUCCUAUUCUAAGUUGCUUCCAACAAAUUGUAUUCCGUCUACAUCUGUGCAAGUUAAGUGUGUUAGUACUGACGUGGCAUGGAUUUGUUAAUCAUUUUAAUGUUUGAUAGACUGAUAAUACAUAAUGUUAAUGUUAAAUAUUAAAUGUAAUGGGUUUUGUUUGUUUUUUGAGACGGAGUUUCACUCUUGUUGCCCAGGCUGGAGUGCAGUGGCGCAAUCUCAGCUCGCUGCAACCUCUGCCUCCCGGGUCCAAGCAAUUCUCCAGCCUCAGCCUCCCGAGUAGCUAGGAUUACAGGUGACUGCCACUACACUCAGCUAAUUUUUUUGUAUUUUUAGUAAAAACGGGGUUUCACCAUGUUGGCCAGGCUGUUUUUGAACUCCUGGCCUCAAGCAAUCCACCUGUCUCAGCCUCCCAAAAUUCUAGGAUAACAGGCGUGAGCCACCAUGCCUGGCCUAAAUGCAAUGUUUAAACUAAGUAUACAAUGUUAAUGUUAAAGUGUUUUCUUAAUUGCUUUUUUUUUUUUUUUUUUUUGAGAUAGGGUAUUUCUCUGUCCCCCAGGCUGGAGUGCAGUAGCAGUAAUCACAGCUCACUGCAGUCUUGAAAUCCUGGGCUAAAACAAUCCUCCCACCUCAGCCUCCAACAUGGCUAGAAUUACAGGUGUGAACCACCACACUCUGCCAGAUACUUUUUCACUGGAAAGAAUAUAGAAACAAAAACUAGAAACAAAAUAUUCCAAGCCUUUUGCAAGAGAGGAGUCUCUAGGAUGGGACUGUGUCUGGAGCUGGUUCCUUCCAGUGGGUC